CAUCACUAUUUGGACACUGUCAAAGUCACUCACAUCUUUUCACUUGACCAUUUUUUCCUACUUUCAACAAAUGAAAUUGAAGAAUUGACCGUUUACUUGAUGCCCAAUAUAUUCCACCCCUUGACAGGUGCCAUUGUAACAAUAUAAUCAAUGUUAUUCACUUCAUCUGUCAGUGGUUUUAAUGUUGUGGCUGAUGAGUGUAUUCUACAUGGAUGUGCAAAUCCUUUCACAAAAUCCCCCCUCUGACGCCCCCUGUCUAACCCGAUCCAGACUUUCUG